GUUUGAUUCGAGGUAAGGGAAGCUUAGGUUUCUGUUGUGCUUAUGGAAAUUAUUGUGUGGGUGAGUUGGAUUCUACUGCAAACCAAUGUAUGUGUAGAUUAUAUCAUAUAUAUGUUGNUGCUUGAUAUGAAAUUGAGGAACUNGUNUGUUGAAAUUGUUAUGUUGAGUGAUGAAUGAUAUAUGAAACUGCAGAAUUAGGAUGAGAACCUGUUAUGGGUAGAUUGUCUGAUGUUGAAAGUGAGUGUUUGAGUGUUAGAAAUUUGUUUUACUGGUUGGUAGACUAUAUUUCAGGUUGGUUAUGGUGUUUAGGUUAGUCUAAGGGAAGUGAGGUAGUCAAAUUGGNCAAUUNGGGUUGGGAGCUGAAUUGGUCAAUUGGGAUGGUCUAGGUAAGUAAAUUGGGACCUGUUAGAGUCCCUAAACUUGUCCAAAACAGUUUCUAAGUCUUAGGUAUGAGAGUGAGUCUUUAAGUUGUUGAAAUCUAAGUUUUUGAGUAUGAAUCAAUGCCUAAUCAUUAAAGAAGGAGAUUAAGAAUANUUAUAAUCAUCUAGGCAAGUUUAAUUCAUCAUAUAGAUCAAGUUAGGAGUGUUAGAAACUCAUCAAAGUGUCUCAGAUGCACCAAAACCAGAAAAUUAAGGUUGUUGUCAAAUACUGAUAAGAAUAAUUG
rnacentral:lncRNA from 1 species